CUCUCUACCUCUCCUGACGACUCUCUCUCUCUCUCUCUCACGACUCACAGCUUCUGCCUACCCCCGACUCUCUCUCUCUCUCUCGCGCGAGCUGCCAUUAAUUUCAGGGCUUAGAUGAAGAUCUGAAACAGUUUUUCGAUAUGAAUUCUGCUAGAUUUCGUGACGGGCGGAGUGUUUUCUGCACUCGAUUAUGUAGUCGGAAUUUUCAGGUUCUUAUCUGAUGCUUCGAGGAUUUCAGGGAAGAGUUAUCAGUUUGAAUUCUACUGGUUUUUUCAUUUGGGACUUUGUGCUUUGGAUUUUGCCAUGGAAGGUGGCAGUGAUCUGGAAGGAAGUCAGUUUCUGAGGUUUCUCUUUUCUCCAUUUUCAUUUGUUUUUUCAUCUAACAAUGUUGAAUUGUGUAGAGAAAAAGGGUGUAUUUUCUGGUAACAAGGUAGGCUCGGUAGUGGGAGUGGUGCAGAAGACAGAACUGGCACUAUGUAAACUUCCAUUUUUCUGGUUUUUUUUUCCCACCCCAAAUUGCAAGAUAUGGAAGGGGCAGUCCGGAAUAUAUCUCACCAGAAAUAUGGUGAUAGAUUAUCAUGUUUGACUUGGGAACUGAGAAUUACCAGCACUCUUAAGACACAUUUCGCAGUUUGGGACUGGCCUAUCUUAUCACAAGAAGUUCUGCAAUUUAAAAGACUGUAACAGUAGAUAUCUUUGCAGUCUUAGAGUGUAAUAUCCCAUCUCAAUGCUGCUAACAAAAAAAUCUAUGCCUCAGUCUAGGUAUGAAUACUGGCUCCCCCAUGGU